GUAAGGUCUAAUAUAUAAAUUCCCCAGUUUUGUGACUCUUGUUUUAAAUUUUUCUGGUUUCAAGUGUAACCCGCGUAUAUAUAACUCAAAAAUACUUCAAACAUCUAAAUUCGUCUAUUAUUUUCGUAUUCUUUUAAUUCCAGGUAAAUCAAUAUUUGAAUACAAUGCAUAAUUUGUCCACUUGUUAGACUUGACAUGAGCGUAUUCUAGGGGAAAGUUAGUCUUUGACAACCUAAAUGGUGCAAAUGUUUUUAAAAGUGUCGCCUCUUCUCGUUUUAAAAACCCUAUCAAUAUUUUGGUACUAAAAUCACCCUUGCAAAUCAACUCUACAGCGGCGAAUAUUUGUUCCAUAGGUAUAUAAAAGAACGGUGGGUCACAGAUCACAACGCGAAAUGUUUCAUCUUGAUUUUCCGGUGUUCGAAUGUCAAAA
rnacentral:lncRNA from 1 species